GGGAGGAGGGAGAAAAGUGGGAUGAGAGAGAAAAUAAGGGUAUCAUUCAUUAGGGGCAAACAUGUCUUUAUUCUUCUCAUUGAAUGCCUUUUAGCAAAGGGAAGAAAACAGGUUUGGCUAAACUUUAGUUGCUAAAGUUUAGCACCUUUUAGUUGCUAAAGUUUAGCAAGUGGAAGAAAACAGACCCUUAAUUAUUUAGAAGGUUGCAUUCUAAGAUAUGCCUUAUAUGUGCUGCUAGCUAGCUGCUGAUGGAGGAGGGCAUAAUAAUUGCAUAUGCAUGCUAACUGAAUCUCAUAAAUUGACUGAAUAAUGAAUGUGUCAGUCUGAUCGCGCGUCAGGAUGCAUAACUGCUAGCCAUAAAUGUACGGCUGUCCGCAGCGAUCAUGUGAUUAAUCAUAUGUUGCAUGCACGGCCCAAUUCAUGUACCCCAAUUCAGUACCCCAGCUGCAAUGCAUGUUCGAUUCUCAGCUGGGUUUUACUUUUACUAGCUACUAUUACCCCCAGCUUAAUUUCCCAUGUCAAUUUAUCAUUCAUGUCUGCAAGCCUCCUCCUUUCAAGAAUUAAGGAUACAUAGUGCUCCC
rnacentral:lncRNA from 1 species